rnacentral:pre_miRNA from 1 species
CAAAUACUCCCUCCGUCCAGAAAUACUUGUCAUCAAAAUGGAUAAAAGGAAAUGUAUCUAGACGUAUUUUAGUUUUAGAUACAUCUCUUUUUAUCCAUUUUGAUGACAAGUAUUUUCGGACGGAGGGAGUAAAAA